rnacentral:rRNA from 1 species
GAUGAACGCUGGCGGCGUGCCUAAUACAUGCAAGUCGAGCGAACAGACGAGGAGCUUGCUCCUCUGACGUUAGCGGCGGACGGGUGAGUAACACGUGGAUAACCUACCUAUAAGACUGGGAUAACUUCGGGAAACCGGAGCUAAUACCGGAUAAUAUAUUGAACCGCAUGGUUCAAUAGUGAAAGACGGUUUUGCUGUCACUUAUAGAUGGAUCCGCGCUGCAUUAGCUAGUUGGUAAGGUAACGGCUUACCAAGGCAACGAUGCGUAGCCGACCUGAGAGGGUGAUCGGCCACACUGGAACUGAGACACGGUCCAGACUCCUACGGGAGGCAGCAGUAGGGAAUCCUCCGCAAUGGGCGAAAGCCUGACGGAGCAAUGCCGCGUGAGUGAUGAAGGUCUUCGGAUCGUAAAACUCUGUUAUUAGGGAAGAACAAAUGUGUAAGUAACUAUGCACGUCUUGACGGUACCUAAUCAGAAAGCCACGGCUAACUACGUG